rnacentral:rRNA from 1 species
ACUGUUUCAAAUAAAUUUAUUAUAGCUAUUUUAUUUUUUAGUCAAAAAGCUAAAAGACCACACCACUCAAGUGUAAGUCAUAGUCUAACAUAUGUGCAAGUAAUUGGGAAUUAAAAAACCUAAUUGCGUAAUAAACAUAACUUUUUAUAAUGGAUAAUUUUUUAUUAAAUUUAUUUAUAUUAAUACAAUCCCGGGGCGUUCUAUAUAGUUAUGUAAAUGAUAUUUAUAUUAUUUAUACCUCUAACUGGAGCGUACCUUGAGCAUAUAUGCUGUGACCCGAAAGAUGGUGAACUAUACUUGAUCAGGUUGAAGUCAACGGGGAAACCCUGAUGGAAGCCGAAACAGUUCUGACGUGCAAAUCGAUUGUCAGAAUUGAGUAUGGGCGAAAGAACCAAUCGAACCAUCUAGUAGCUGGUUCCCUCCGAAGUUUCCCUCAGGAUAGCUGGGCAUUUAAAUAUUAAAUAAAAUAAUCUUAUCUGGUAAAGCGAAUGAUUAGAGGCCUUAGGGUCGAAACGACUUUAACCUAUUCUCAAACUUUAAAUGGAGAACCUCACCUUACUUGAUAUGAGGAGGUUGUUAUGAUAUAAUGUGCCCAGUGGGCCACUUUUUGGUAAGCAGAACUGGCGCUGUGGGAUGAACCAAACGUAUGUUACGGUGCCCAAAUUAACAACUCAUGCAGAUACCAUGAAAGGCGUUGGUUGCUUAAAACAGCAGCGGUGGACUGGAAGUCGUAUCCGCUAAGGAGUGUGUAACAACUCACCUGCCGAAGCAACUAGCCCUUAAAAUGGAUGGCGCUUAAGUUGUAUACCUAUACAUUACCGCUAAAGUAAAUAGAUUUAUAUUCAAUUUCGGUUGAAUUAUAAAUUUUAAAACUUUAGUGAGUAGGAGGGUACAAUGGUGUGCACAGAAGUGUUUGGCGUAAGCCUGCAUGGGAGCCGCCAUUGGUACAGAUCUUGGUGGUAGUAGCAAAUAAUCGAAUGAGACUGGAGGACUGAAGUGGAGAAGGGUUUCGUGUGAACAGUGGUUGAUCACGAGUUAGUCGGUCCUAAGUUUAAGGCGAAAGCCGAAAAUUUUCAUGUUUAUUAUGUGAUAAUAAAUAAUAUUAUUAUUGUAAAUUAACGAACAUGAUUAUUUUUGAACGAAAGGGAAUACGGUUCCAAUUCCGUAACCUGUUGAGUAUCCGUUUGUUAUUAAAUAUGGGCCUUGUGCUCAUCCUGGCAACAGGAACGACCAUAAAGAAGCCGUCGAGAGGUAUCGGAAGAGUUUUCUUUUCUGUUUUAUAGUCGUACUACCAUGGAAGUCUUUCGAAGAGAGAUAUUGGUAGAUGGCUAGAAGAGCAUGACAUUUACUGUUGUGUCGAUAUUUUCUCCUCGGACCUUGAAAAUUUAUGGUGGGGUCACGCAAACUUCUCAAACAGGCCGUACCGAUUCCGCAGCUGGUCUCCAAGGUGAAGAGUCUCUAGUGUCGAUAGAAUAAUGUAGGUAAGGGAAGUCGGCAAAUUAGAUCCGUAACUUCGGGAUAUUGGGCUCUGAAGAGUUGAAUAGUCGGCUUGAUUUGAGCAAUAUCAUGGUUUAUAUACUCUCUUGGGUAAAUAGAGAUUCUUGAAUCUUGUUCCCGGAUAGUAGUUGUUAUGUAGCCUAUUGUGCGGAAAUUUUCAGCUAAUAUUAAUUUGAGUGUUGAUUGACUAAAAUUUUUCAUUCUAUUUUAAUUAUAAUUUUAAUUAUAACGAUUUAUCAAUUAACAAUCAAUUCAGAACUGGCACGGACUUGGGGAAUCCGACUGUCUAAUUAAAACAAAGCAUUGUUGGCGCUAACCGGGUGUUGACACAAUGUAUUUCUGCCCAGUGCUCUGAUGAAAGUGAAGAAAUUCAAGUAAGCGCGGGUAAACGGGCGGGAGUACUAUGACUCUACUUAAGGUACGACCAAAUGCCUGUCAUCUAAUAGUGACGCGCAAUGAAUGGAUUAACGAGAUUCCCUCUGUCCCUAUCUACUAUCUAGCGAAACCACCAGCCAAGGGAACGGGCUUGGAAUAAUUUAGCGGGGAAAGAAGACCCUGUUGAGCUUGACUCUAGUCUGGCAGUGUAAGGAGACGACAUAGAGGUGUAGCAUAAUGGGAGAUGUAUAAUUCGGUUUACAUCAACAAUGAAAUACACCACUACUCUUAUUGUUUCCUUACUUACUUGAUUAAGUGGAACGUGUAUCUAUGCUUAGCCAUUAUACGGAUAUAUUUAUAUGUCUUAUGGUAUUGGGUAUUGAUGCAAGCUUCUUGAUCAAAGUACCACGAGUUUGUUAUAUAAUUGUAAAACUAAAUUUUUUAUGAAUUAAUAGCAUUUCGGUGUUAUUAUUAUUAUUUUGAAUUUUGGUAUAACUCCAACUCAGGUAUGAUCCAAUUCAGACGGUGCGCCAGGUGGGGAGUUUGACUGGGGGCGGUACCGGUACAUCUCUCUCUCAAAUAAUAACGGAGGUGUCCCAAGGCCAAGCUCAGUGCGGACAGAAACCACACAUAGAGCAAAAGGGCAAAAUGCUGACUUGAUCUCGUUUCAGUACACAAAGAGACAGCAAAAGCUCGGCCUAUCGAUCUCCUUUUGGUUUAAAGAGUUUUUAACAAGAGGUGUCAGAAAAGUUACCACAGGGAUAACUCUUGUGGGGCGGCCAAGCGUUCAUAGCGACGUCGCUUUUGAUCCUUCGAUGUCGGGCUCUUCCUAUCAUUGUGAAGCAAAAUUCAACCAAGCGUUGGAUUGUUCACCCAUGCAAAGGAACGUAGCUGGGGUUAGACCGUCGUGAGUCAGGUUAGUUUUACCCUACUAAUGACAAAAUUGUUGCGGACAGCAUUCCUGCGUAGUACGAGAGGAACCGCAGGUACGGACCAAUGGCACACAAACUUUUCGAGCGAACUGUGGUAUGACGCUACGUCCGUUGGAUUAUUAUGCCUGAACGCCUCUAAGGUCGUAUCCGUGCUGGACUGCAAUGAUAAAAUGGGGGGGCAAUUGCAUUGUAUGGUCUAAACCAAUUUAAAGUUUAUAUUUAUAUAAACGACAAUGGAUGUGAUGCCAAUGUUAUUUGUAACAUAGCAAAUGCGAGGAUU